UAUUUUCUUAAAAUGGCCAAUUAGUUUUCUAAUCAUGCCAUCAUUUGCUUGAAAGCACGCCAAAAUGCCGGCCUUCACCACUUCCUAUGUGUUCUUCGCACUACUAGAACUGAUGUACUCAUUGCAGUUUUUUAGCAAUUUGGCACUUGGUGCUAUACCUUUUCAGCGUCCUCAAUAGCAGUGUCAACUUCUUCAGCUGCAACAAUAUUAAUAUACGUGGGUAUUCUAUCAACUAUGCCUAUCGAAAAUGUUUAUCAACGAGGAUUCGGCAAGAAUGUUCGAAGCCGAAUUAAUGAUUGAAAGUUACUCUACAUUAAUGAACUAUGUUAUUGUAUAAGUGUCGUUCAUGGCGGACAUUUGGACCGGAAUAAAUGAGUAAGAACUUAAAAA